AAGCACACACAACAUAAUGUUUCAAUGAAUUUUCAAGAAAUGAAGAAAUUAUUUUUACUUACUGUGAAAAGAGAAAUUUAACAUGAGGGAGAGAAUCAAGAGGGAUUCAUAUUCCAGAAUAUGCAUAGUUGGAAGGGACCCACAAUGACCAUCGAACUCAACCCCUGGCUCCUCACAGCACCACUCAAAACUCAAACUCUAUGUCUGAGAGCAUUGUCCAAACACUUCUUGAACUCUGUCACCUUGGGGUUGUGGCAGCCCUGGACAAGUGGCUCCAUGCCCACUGCUCUCUGCUGCAGAACCUUUCUCUAAUCCUCUCCUGACCCUGCCCUGAUGCAGCUCCGUGCUAUUCGCUAGGGUCCUGUGGCUGCCAUCAGAGAGAAGAGGUCAGUGCUGCCCCUCUACUCCUGUCGUGAGGAGCUGUAGCCCACCAUGAGGCCUCCCCUCAGCCCUCCUCUGCUUUACACUGAAAAAACCUAGGGACCUCAGCUGUUUCAGAUAAGACAGUGACCUUGUCACAAUUCAUCGCUUAAGCAGUAUUUGGUUCUGUUAAUAUCUAUGUUGGAGACAUUUUCAGAACCUUUUACAUUACCAGAAAAGGUGGCAUAUGUUUGUGCCUUGGUACAUAUUACUGAGCUAUGACUAACUCCGAAUUUGAAGUCUGUCAAGUAGAAGGCCCUUUUCCAAAAGAGGAGAAAAAAAUAAUAUCUGGGUGAGCCCAAAAAACUUCAGCAUUUUCCCUCAGUUAAAUACAAGAUGGGAUUCUUCCAAGAUCUCUGUAGUCUAUGUCAGUGGGAAGGAAAAAGCACUAAGCAUUUUACAAAAUCCGUCUUGUUGUUUGUAUAUCUGAAAAGGCAUGGAGACAGGUUACAGAUAAAAUCAAAUGUAAACUAGGUGAAGUUAGAAGUAUUCCCGAAAUGAAUAUCCAGCUUCUUCUUUUGUAUAAAACCCAUGUAAGGCUAAAAUAUAUCACCAGCCAUUCAGAUUAUGAAUUGUGUGUUUUUGUAAAUAAAAGAACAUUGAUAAAUC